CCCAAAUGUCUUAUCAAAAUGGGUCUAUUGUGAUAUAAGUUAUCUCACACACAGCGUUUGGUCAGACUCCCAAUUGAUUGUUCACACUAACUUUUGCGUCCUGAUGAACCUCCGUCAAGAGUAUUUUACUCCAGAUUAGAACACAAGUUUUUGCUCUGUUUGGACAACUAACAAGGCCCAGUCACAUCCGCUAAGUGUUAUGUGUCCUCAACUUAUCAUUCUGUUUAUGUGUUGCCUUUGCCACCCUCCUAACUGGUUAUAUAUGAUAUCUCAGGAAAAAAAAUUACAUCAUCUAAAAUCGUAAUUUUUUAACAGUAGACUGUUUUUACUCUUUUCCUGAUGGCCCAUUUAGCUGCUUCAAAUUGAUGACCAAUCUGGUUUUGUGGGAUUUAUGGAUGAUGGCGGAGCAGCAAAAGAUAACCUCAAACUACCGGACAAUGAUUUGGGCAAAGAAAUCAAAGCGAAGUUUGAUAAUGACGAUAAAUUCUAUGUCAUUGUGUUGAAAGGUUUGGGGGAAGAACAAAUAAUUGCUACUAAGAUGUUGAAGUAACACGUCCUAUGAACAGCUAGAGACCUCACACCCCUAAUCUCCAGUUUGAGUUUGAAGCCUCACCAAAGCUCCUUGCCUUCACUCCAUAUCACAACAAGUUAUCUGGAUUGGCAACGGAAAUCUGGAAGCCGGACUGGAGCAGCUUCUCCAACUUUACCUUGGGGUCCAGGCUGACUGGCAUUAUGUUUAAUCAAUGAAGUCAUCCACAUGUGGCCAAUCAUUCUGCAAUGGCUGCUAUUAUUACUCCAGGAAUUCAUUAAUUUUACACUAUGGGUGAUGUGUGAUUUUUGCUAUGUGCAUUACUUUUUACAUUCUCACCAUUAUCCAUUUUUAAAUAAAUCGUGGAGCUUU